rnacentral:rRNA from 1 species
AGUGAACGCUGGCGGUAGGCCUAACACAUGCAAGUCGAACGGCAGCACAAUAAGGGUUUGCUCUUACGGGUGGCGGGGGGAGGGGGGGUGAGGAAUACAUCGGGAUCCACUUUUUCGGGGGGGAUUUAGUGGGGACGGUUACGCUAAUACCGUAUACUCGCUACGGCAGAGAGCAGGGGCUCUUGGGACCUUGCCCGUCUGAUUGAGCCGAUGGCGGAUUAGCUAGUUGGCGGGGUAAAGGCCCACCAAGGCGACGAUCCGUAGCUGGUCUGAGAGGAUGAUCAGCCACACUGGAACUGAGACACGGUCCAGACUCCUACGGGAGGCAGCAGUGGGGAAUAUUGGACAAUGGGCGCAAGCCUGAUCCAGCCAUACCGCGUGGGUGAAGAAGGCCUUCGGGUUGUAAAGCCCUUUUGUUGGGGAAGAAAAGCAGCAGGUUAAUACCCCGCUGUACUGACGGUACCCAAAGAAUAAGCACCGGCUAACUUCGUG